GAGGCCAAGGGAGGAGGCGGUUGGCUGUCAGGGAGGCAAGAGUCAGGAAUUUCCGGAGGUGGGUAGUCAGGGCGUAGGUUGGGGGAAGGCGACCUGGCCGGACAGUUCAAGGGGCAGGGGAAGGGGCAGGCUCCAGUGCGAUGGAAGAGCCUUGCCCUGAAGACCUGGGAACGCCCAGGUUUAUCCAGUUUCUGCCUCUAACUUACUGUGUGAUAUGGGAAAAGUCACUUCUUCCUGGCGUUGGUGCCCUCUUUGGUGAAAUGUAAAACCCUGUUCCUUGGACUAGGACUCAUUUUCCUUCCUGCCCUCAAUUCUGUGAUUCUGCCUGGACCCUGGCAAGAAAGAACAGCGAUGCGCGGAGUUACCCAGGAGUAAAGACACUGCUCGGUUCUGGCCCAGGACCAUAUUUUGCGUAAAGAAGCAAACUGGCCUGGAAGCAGGAAAAAAUGGGUCUGGCCCCACCUUGGAUGCUUAUUCAGCAUGAACUUGGACAAAUCAUUUCAUUUCUUUACUCAGCAGAAAAAUGACAGUAUUGAUCUUCAGACAUUUUGUGGCUAUUUUAAACGAUUUUAUUUUUUAGCAGAGAAAUCUCUUAUCUGUGUUGGGACAAAAACAAAAAAACUUGCCCUGAUUGAAGCAGCAGGAAAGGCUCUUGAGUCUAUCCCUGUGACUUUGGGGAGUCAUUUCAUUUUGCUUGGGCCUCUAUCUGUAACAUGGGAAUAAGAACUGCUCUUCUGAUCUCAUAGUUAAUUGGGGAAAAUGAGACAAGAUAUGUGGAAAGAUUUUGCAAACUCUAAAUUGAGGUACAAAUGUACAAAUUCAUACUCAGGCCUGGUGUCAACCCCUUCAUCACCUCUUCUGGUCCAGAAGUCAAGUCCUCCCAAAGGCAUUCCCAAAGCUCAUGGCCAUGGAAGGAAAAGAUGUCUGUUUCUCUCCAACCCAAAGCAUGGUAUGGGGCUGGUAGCCCCGGAAACCAGAGUCAGCAUCUUCCAGACCCAUGCAGAAUCUGGGGACAAGGAUUAUAUCUACGACCUUCUCCAAAUUUCUGUAUUUGACUUGAGAUGGCACAGCAGAUGGCAAUGAAAUCACUUAGCAAGCAGGCAGUGGAGACUGCAACCUGAGGGGUGGCCCCACAUCUACAGAUCUGCAAUGGAGGGAAGCCUGAGGAGGGGACAGAAGAUAACACAGCUUCUUUAUACAGAACUUUUAAUAGAAAGAAGAGCGACAACACAGCACUGGCAUGUCAACAAAAGAACACUUUGAUAGCCAGUGAUCAAAAAUAAAAUCACCAGUCGUGAGACAUAUCAACAUUGGGUACCUCCUGAUACGAUGCGCUGAGAAAGACCCAACAUUACUUCUGUGGUAUUUUUGCCAAGUAUACACAACCUCAGCCUAAAUCUUGAGGAGUCGUCAGACUAAUCCAAAUUGAAGGACGCUGUGAAAAACAACUGGCCAAUAUUCGUCAGGGUGACGUGAAGCCUAAGGAACUAUACAUUGGAGGAGAUUGAGAGGAUGUGUCAACUAACUGCAAUGCCAGAUCCUGGAUUUGCCCAGAAAAUAGGAGACAAAGAAGAAAUACUAUGGCUACGUCAACCUUGGAGGGUAGCCCUGAAGGCAAGAACUUGAGCUCAGCCAGGUAGGAGAAACAUGAAGAAUGUUCCUUAUCUUGGUUCUUAAUUCAUUACCUCAGAACAAAGAGUUAAUAAUUGCCACUGACAUCAACAAUUGUCUGACCUGUGGAAGUUGUUCUGAGGUUCUUGGACAGAGGACUGUAAAAGCCUGGGGACUCACUGGGGGUUAGGAGAUCCAUAAUCUCUUGGUGGCAUUGCCACUUCUGUUUGGUCAGAGGGCAGCAGUCAAUUGGGGGACACAGGUUUGGCAGAACCUGUUAGGUAGGAGGAAGGAGGGGGCAGUGAGGACGGCUAUGGAAAGACCAAGCAGCAGAGGAGAAAAACCUGUUAAAACCACAAAUAUCUUAUUUAACAUUUCAAAGUCUUCCUCCCUGACAGCAAUAUCCUUCAGAGAAGGAGUGGUAAAAGAAUUGAGUGCUCCAAGGCUCAAGUUUCUUGAACAUAUAGGACUGACAUCAAGAUAAGGGAUUCCCCGGGCGCCUGGGUGGCUCAGUCAUUAAGCAUCUGACUUGGGCUCAGAUCAUGAUCUCAUGGUUGGUGAGUUCGAGACCCACAUCAGAUGAACUUGAGUCCCACUUCAGGUGAGCCCCGCUUCUCUCUCUCUUUCUCUCUCUCUGCCCCUCGCUCACUUGUGCCCUCUCUCUCUCUCUCUCUCAAAAGAAAAGAAAAAAAAGAAAAGAAGAUAAGGGAUUCCCUGGUGUCCAUCACUUAACACUUAACCAAUAUUUGACCCAUCCUUCCCUAUCUCUCAAAGUUUGUGGAUGGCAUUACCAUGCUGUCAUUCACCAAAACUUCAAUUUCUUUAUAUGAGCCUUGGCAAAGAAAGGCCAGGAAAUGGAAGAGACCAAGAUGUUUCACCUGAAAACAGAAUAGAAAAUGUGGACAACUAAAUUCAUUGGUAUGGCAUCCCCCCAAAUGAAGCUGAUGCGUAGUUUCGGCCAUGUACCUUGUUGAAACCCAGUUGAACUUGUAAUUAAUGAUGUAAGGGAAUGCAAUUGUAGGCAUGAAGGAUGGGUCAUGGGACUUCAGUAAAACCAGCUUAGCCUCCAUGCAUGCCUUGAGGAAGGAUGCUGUGGUGACUGGAGUAGAACCAGCGUGGGCUCCACUUGGCUUGUGCCCGUGCACAACCAGGCAGUUACAGUCCCAGAAAUCAGGGCACAGGAUAACCACCCCAAGUGAAAUGGAGGACCUGGCCUUAAAAGGAAACAAGGAAGUGAUGAGAGCCAUUUGGCCUGGUGAAUUCGAGGUAUGACUCUUUACCUCCCUUCCAGCUGGGGAGGAUUAAACAGAGGAAACUUUAGUGUUUGAAUCUAAAGUUUUCUGCUUAAAGGUGAUUAAAACUAACUUUCCUAAAGAAGGCUACUUGUUUUCAAUGUUUCCAACACAGGUUUUGGAUAAAAUGCAGACAUUUUAAUAUAAAAUUACUUAUCUUUGGUAUUUUGAGUUGCCCAAGGGUGGAGAGAAAGUAUCGACCCCCUGACCCAGGAAGUGAGCAUCAGCAGCUACUCAAAUCCCACUUGACUCCAGAAGUGUUCAAAGGGUAUAGUGACUUUGGGAUCCUAACAACAAGUGACUUAAAAUAAAUCUGAGCUUCUGUGUUUGCAGUUCAAUCACCUUUACGGAGCACCUACUCUCUGCUAGGUGCUGUGCUGGGUGCAAGGGCUACAGUCAUAAUCAAGGUGGGCCAGGUCUCUGCCCUCGGCUUUUAUUCACAAAUGCAACUUCUUUGUCUCAGUAUUCAUUGCUUUAAAGUAGACACUGGUAAGAGAGACCCUGCCUGAGCCCGUUACUUUAGGUGGGCUGGCUCUGGCUCCCCUCCAGCCUCACCCCUGCACAUAGGGUGAGGAGCCCAUAACUCCCACCUAGGCCUCAUUCCAGGUACCUGGCAUCCCAGAAUUCCCUGCUCAGAUGAUGAAAUCCUAGGCUCCGAAUGGCCACAGGGCAGAUCUAUCCUCAUGGUAUGGACAGAAUUAGAAUGUGUGGGCUGGAAUAUGCCCACGUGUACAUUUGAGGCCUUCUGUGGUACAGGAUAGAAAGUGAAAGUGAAUGGGCCUGUGUCCAAGGGCCACGUGCCCUGGUACCUCCUUGUUUCAGCCGAAAGCUCCAAGAGCCUGGGAACUGUAAAUUUCAGCCUGGCCCUUCCCUGUCAUUACAUUUGUCGAAGUAGAAGGAUAGAACGCAUUUUAUUUAACAGGUUGUUGGUUUGAUUUAUAACUUUUAAAUGUUUAGACACACGGUCUGUGAGCCCUGCAGAGGUGAAGCGUGGGUGAGACCUUCAGAGCAGGGGAGAUGAGGCUGAGGAGUGACAUCACCUUUCUUCUGGCCCCCAGGCUUUUCCCCAUGCCCCGUCAAAGGGCCUCUGUGGAUUGGAUGUACCUCAAAGGAUGCUGGUUCUCCUUUACUCCCCACUCUGGUCACCAUUUGCAAGGAUUGCUGCAGCAUCCCACCAGACUCCCAGGGUCUGGGAGAGGCAGCUGGCUACACUUUGUAGUCCAUUUUGCUCACAUGCUGACUAAGUGUGCCGGGUCAAAAUUCAGCGGCGUCUCCCCAUGCCACAGAAAUGCAUUCCCUCCUUGCCCAUUACUAAUCAGUGCAGUAAAUGUUUCUGUACAAAGCUGAUAUGUUCCUUUUCCACAAGGCACAUUAUGCCUAGAACCAUGGUCCCGGGAAGUGACAGCACAGUGGUGUGAGACCUGAGAUGAAAAUAGGCAUACUUUCUCCCAGUGACCUUUUGGCUCAUGCCUGGAUAGGAAUCUUGGGUAUUUACUGGCCAUGUGACUUGGGGGACAAGUUUCUUAGCCCCGCCCCCCCCUCUGAGUUUCUGUUUUCCAUCUGAAAAUGGGAACAGGAGAUUGAAUGGGAAAGGGUGUAAAGCAAAACUCAAGAACCUGGUUCAUGGUAGAUGUUCAAAGGUUGGAGUGGCCUUUACACACCUCACACUCCCCACUGUUGUGUGUCCUCAGACUCAGUCUCUCUCCCUCCCUGGCCUCUACCGAAUGCGGUGGGCCCUCCUUCACUCUGCUGCACGCCCCCCCCCCCCACCAGUCAUGCUGCACAUCUCUGCAAGACUGGCAGUAUUCUGUCCCAGGACUGCAGCUACCGUCAGGAGGCUCAGCCUGCCCCAUCAGCAAGCAUCCUGGCCCUGUCUGCUCAUCAGCCUCCAACAUCUGGAUGAAACCCUACUUGAAAGAAAGUGCUGCAGUGUUGAGAGCUUGCUCUACCUGGAACAAUGAAGGCAGAUGCAGGUGAGUGCUUUCCCUGGAAAUUCGCACCUCAACAAAGAGAAGGGGACAGAUGUCAAAGUGCUACGCAGCCCAGGGGCUGCAGACCAUAGGCUUUGGAAUCAGACUGGCUGGGGCUUGGCUCUGUAACUUAGUGGGUGCAUCUGGACAACUGAAUGCCUCAGAAUCUUAACUUCCUCCUCUGUAAAAUGGAGCAAAAUCAAAGGAGAUUUGAAAGACCUGA